rnacentral:lncRNA from 1 species
GGGCGACUCUCAAGAACUUCACAUGUUUUGCUCUACAAACGGCCGCGCGCUGCAGUCACGAUGUGGUGAAGUUCAUCAUGCGCGCGCAUAGAGUGCAGUUUUCCUGAUGGAUCGAACCAGGAAGGGGGGACUGGGGCCGCUGAUUUCCAGCAAGGUGCCAGAUAAGCUGCAGUGUUCCAUGCGAAUGGUGAAGGAGGGACCUGAUGACACAGAUGUCCCCCCGCUACCACACAAUAACCACUUAAAUGGGGAACCAGGGAACCAAGGAGGAGGUCAGUAUCAAGAGAAUUUUCAAACUCUUUAUGAAGUAUCCAUCCAUUAUCAAGAAUAACAAAGUAAAACAUCUAUAUACUGUAGCAUAGCCUUGAGAGUUGUACUUCUCUUUUCUGAUAUUAGACAUAUCCACAUUGGUCCUCUGGUAGUUGGAUUCCUAGAUGUUUAUUUUUUUCCCUUUGGUUGUAAUUAGGAGUUCUUGUUUUUUUCUCUGCUGUUGCUAGCUGACUUACUCUGGUAUUUAUGUUAUAACAAAUUUUGGAUUAUUAUCAGUAACCUUAUUUCAGAAAAAUUGGUUUUGAGGCGAGGGGGGCGCGGUGGCGCAGUGGGUUGGACGACAGUCCUGCUCUCCGGUGGGUCUGGGGUUCGAGUCCCGCUUGGGGUGCCUUGCGACGGACUGGCGUCCCGUCCUGGGUGUGUGUGUGUGUGUGUCCCGUCCCCCCCCCCCCCCGGCCUUACGCCCUGUGUUGCCAGGUAGGCUCCGGUUCCCCGCGACCCCGUAUGGGACAAGUGGUUCCGAAAAUGUGUGUGUGUGUGUGGUUUUGAGGCAAGGUACACACAUAUGCUCAUUCAUUCAUAUUCACACACAGCGGGCAAUUUAGAGUUACCAUUUCACCACAGAUGCAUGUCUUUGGAGUAAGGGAGAACACCAGAGCACACAGAAAAUACAAACAGCCACAAGGCACCAAUACUGCACCACCAUGCAUCUAUUUACUGUUUGUAGAGUUUUGAAGCCCUCCCUCUUUAAGUGUUAUGAGUAAAGAUCCAUAAAUAAUUUAAGCAUGUGUGGUGCAUAAGAAAAAUGCUAAUGAAUAAAAGUUUUUCUUAUGUCCA